CUCACUGAAUUUAAGCAUAUUAGUCAGUAGAGGAAAAGAAACUUAACAAGGAUUCCUUCAGUAAUGGUGAAUAAACACAGAAGAGCCCAGUGCUGAAUCCUCACCCCACAGUGGGACACAGGAAAUGUGGCAUAUGGUAGACUCGCUCCCUGGUGCCACUUGUAGGGGGCUCAAGUCCUUCUGAUCGAGGCCCAGCUUGUGGAUGGUGUGAGGCUAGUAACAACCCCUAGAGCACUGAGCCUGGGUCUUCCCAGAGUCAUGCUGCUUGAGAAUACAGCCCAAAGUGGGUAAUAAAGUCCAUCUAAGGCUAAAUAUGGCAGGAAGUAGAUAGUCACUGGAAGGGAAAGUUGAAAAGAACUUUGAAGACAGAGUUCAAAAGAACAUGAAACUGUUAAGAGGUGUGACCACAGAUCAGUUGCGGCAACCCUAUGCCCUUGGCCCUGGGUGGCGGCCCUGCUCCCUCAGCCCUGGAAGCAAGAAGAUGGCUCGCCCUCUGGAACCAAGG
rnacentral:ncRNA from 1 species